rnacentral:rRNA from 1 species
GAUGAACGCUGGCGGCGUGCCUAAUACAUGCAAGUCGAGCGAACAGACGAGGAGCUUGCUCCUCUGACGUUAGCGGCGGACGGGUGAGUAACACGUGGAUAACCUACCUAUAAGACUGGGAUAACUUCGGGAAACCGGAGCUAAUACCGGAUAAUAUAUUGAACCGCAUGGUUCAAUAGUGAAAGACGGUUUUGCUGUCACUUAUAGAUGGAUCCGCGCCGCAUUAGCUAGUUGGUAAGGUAACGGCUUACCAAGGCAACGAUGCGUAGCCGACCUGAGAGGGUGAACGGCCACACUGGAACUGAGACACGGUCCAGACUCCUACGGGAGGCAGCAGUAGGGAAGCUUCCGAAAUGGGCGAAAGCCUGACGGAGCAACGCCGCGUGAGUGAUGAAGGUCUUCGGAUCGUAAAACUCUGUUAUUAGGGAAGAACAAAUGUGUAAGUAACUAUGCACGUCGUGACGGUACCUAAUCAGAAAGCCACGGCUAACUACGUG